UAACGCGUGAGGAACCUGCCUCAAAGAGGGGGGCAACAGUUGGAAACGACUGCUAAUACCGCAUAAGCCCACGGUGCCGCAUGGCACAGAGGGAAAAGGAGCAAUCCGCUUUGAGAUGGCCUCGCGUCCGAUUAGCUAGUUGGUGAGGUAAUGGCCCACCAAGGCGACGAUCGGUAGCCGGACUGAGAGGUUGAACGGCCACAUUGGGACUGAGACACGGCCCAG
rnacentral:rRNA from 1 species